GGGGAUUUGGCUCAGUGGUAGAGCACUUGCCUAGCAAGCGCAAGGCCCUGGGUUCCAUCCCCAGCUCCA
rnacentral:tRNA from 1 species